UACGUAGGGGGCGAGCGUUGUUCGGAUUCACUGGGCGUAAAGGGUGCGUAGGCGGUCGGGUAAGUCUGAUGUGAAAUCUCACAGCUUAACUGUGAAACUGCAUUGGAUACUAUCCGGCUAGAGGAAUGGAGGGGAGACUGGAAUACUUGGUGUAGCAGUGAAAUGCGUAGAUAUCAAGUGGAACACCAGUGGCGAAGGCGAGUCUCUGGACAUUUCCUGACGCUGAGGCACGAAAGCCAGGGGAGCAAACGGG
rnacentral:rRNA from 1 species